GGUUGAACUUCCCAACUGAACUGCUCUGAACUGGUCAUGGCUUGAACAAGUUGUGAACUGUCAGACUCAAAGUGAAGUGCUUCGUGUCUUUUAGGAUAGGAAAAAGUAAGGGCUUCCAAAAGUGCUAGGGUUUCGGCCAUCAAAGGGGAAGAUGCUCUGAUCUUCUUUGCCUCUCCGCCCACCAUCCUCCCCUCCGAAUCACGGCAGAUGCAAGCUACAGAACUUUGCAGCGAACCAGAUCUGUCAAUUUGAAGGGUUUUCUGGUGAGCUACGUGUGCUCUGCCCCCUGCACCAGCAUUUCCCUCCAAUUCCGGCGCUUGAUGGGUGCGUUGCGUCUCAUCAUUUAGCCUAGUGCUCCGCUCUCCAUCCAUCGCACGUACGUUCCUUCCAGAUCUGCUAUUCCUCUCGACGUUCGCUGAUCUGGUUCGGGUUUGCUGGCCUCCGUUUCUCCCACUGGUCAGUCCGUUAUCUACCUCACUCUCUGCGUUACUGAUUAUUCUACAAAAUUCAUUGCUGAGUUGGGAGAGUUCUGUUUCUCGAGUUGCAGAUCCACCCUCUCGUGGGUCCUCCAGCAUGCUGCUCGCCAAGUCCCAGAUCUGUGAAGGAACCGGUCGUGCUCUUCAGCUCCUCUGUGCUCGCCAUUCUGCCUACUAAUGCUUACUUCCUCUGUUUCACUCUCGGUUGCACUACUCAGUUGUGCAUUAGAGGCACUUGGCCACGGUUGCUUCUCUUUUCCCCGUGUUCUACUAUCUUCCCCUCCUGUACUCAACACCUCUCUCCUACAUGAACUCAUCUCUCCGCCCAAUCUUGGUCUCAUGUUAUCUCUCAACUCAUGUACCCUGAUUCGCAGUCCAGCAUUUACUUGCUGUUCCUGCAUUUGAGUCUUCCCCUGUCUCAUCGCUGCAUUAUUCUCUUUUAUGGCUGUGCUUGGUCCUCCAUGUGCAAAUUCGGUUCCAUCUCUAUCUCGGGAUUCACCUUUCCUUUGAUUCCACCUUUGAUAACUUUUGAGGAGCGCUUGUGCUGAGUCAAUAAUAGCCGACACUUCUGGUUUUCUACCUCGAAAAACUGCCUGAUUUCUGGCCUUCCACAUAUUCCACAAUGUUACAGCUACCAUAUUCAGCUCUUUGUGCCAAAUCUGUGUUGUCCAUGGACACAACAAAAAUAGAUGUUCAACCGUUUCCCUCUCAAGAUUACAUAAUGGGUAGAUGGGGUCAGGUAAUAUUUUCCUUCCAAACAGAUUAUCUUUUGUGGGGAGAGCAUUGUUACAUAAAUUCCACAUAAAUAUUUUUAUCUUGGGCGGGGUGUGCAAAUUCCAUAUGUCUUUCCAAAGUGAGGGGGGAGGUUGGAAAGAAGUUGUUGGCUGAUUCUCCUGAACUUGUGCUUUAGCCUCCUUGAUGUAGUUAUAUGCACUCUUCACUGUAUAUUUACCUGCCUGCGUGCCAGUCCAUACAAUUUGAUUCGUUUCUGUUUGUGGCUUGAUGGGGAUAGUCAAAAUUUCUUCAGCUAA